AUUGAACGCUGGCGGCAUGCCUUACACAUGCAAGUCGAACGGCAGCACGGGAGCAAUCCUGGUGGCGAGUGGCGAACGGGUGAGUAAUAUAUCGGAACGUGCCCAGUCGUGGGGGAUAACGUAGCGAAAGCUACGCUAAUACCGCAUACGAUCUAUGGAUGAAAGCGGGGGAUCGCAAGACCUCGCGCGAUUGGAGCGGCCGAUAUCAGAUUAGGUAGUUGGUGAGGUAAAGGCUCGCCAAGCCGACGAUCUGUAGCUGGUCUGAGAGGACGACCAGCCACACUGGGACUGAGACACGGCCCAGACUCCUACGGGAGGCAGCAGUGGGGAAUUUUGGACAAUGGGCGCAAGCCUGAUCCAGCAAUGCCGCGUGCAGGAUGAAGGCCUCGGUUGUAACU
rnacentral:rRNA from 1 species